AGAGUUUGAUCAUGGCUCAGAACGAACGCUGGCGGCAGGCUUAACACAUGCAAGUCGAACGGACGCGAGCAAUCGCGUCAGUGGCAGACGGGUGAGUAACGCGUGGGAACAUACCCUCCGGUUCGGAAUAGCUCAGGGAAACUUGGAUUAAUACCGGAUACGGCUGAGAGGCGAAAGAUUGAUUCGCCGGAGGAUUGGCCCGCGUUCGAUUAGCUUGUUGGUGAGGUAACGGCUCACCAAGGCGAUGAUCGAUAGCUGGUCUGAGAGGAUGAUCAGCCACAUUGGGACUGAGACACGGCCCAAACUCCUACGGGAGGCAGCAGUGGGGAAUAUUGGACAAUGGGCGCAAGCCUGAUCCAGCCAUGCCGCGUGAGUGAUGACGGCCUUAGGGUUGUAAAGCUCUUUCGCUCGGGACGAUAAUGACGGUACCGAGAUAAGAAGCCCCGGCUAACUUCGUGCCAGCAGCCGCGGUAAUACGAAGGGGGCUAGCGUUGUUCGGAAUUACUGGGCGUAAAGCGCGUGUAGGCGGGUCGUUAAGUCAGGGGUGAAAUGCCAAGGCUCAACCUUGGAACUGCCUUUGAUACUGGAGACCUUGAGUCCGGGAGAGGUGAGUGGAACUGCGAGUGUAGAGGUGAAAUUCGUAGAUAUUCGCAAGAACACCAGUGGCGAAGGCGGCUCACUGGCCCGGAACUGACGCUGAGACGCGAAAGCGUGGGGAGCAAACAGGAUUAGAUACCCUGGUAGUCCACGCUGUAAACGAUGGAUGCUAGCCGUUGGGGAGCUUGCUCUUCAGUGGCGCCGCUAACGCUUUAAGCAUCCCGCCUGGGGAGUACGGUCGCAAGAUUAAAACUCAAGGAAUUGACGGGGCCCGCACAAGCGGUGGAGCAUGUGUUUAUUCGAAGCAACGCGCAGAACCUUACCAGCUUUUGACAUGUCCUGGACGGAUUGCAGAGAUGCGAUUCUUCCCUU
rnacentral:rRNA from 1 species